rnacentral:tRNA from 1 species
UAAAAAGAAGCGAUAUUAUCGCACUCAGUUUCGACCUGAGCCUAGGGUAAUCCCUUUUUAA